AUGGGGCUGUUCAUGGCAGCAGCAGCAUGGGAAUUCAGUGGUAGCAGCUUGAUAACAAAAGAGGAGCUGUUAUCAGGGUUUCUGAGGGAAGCAAAAGCUGAAGAGAGGAGAAGGAGUGGCUGACCAGCACUUGUGCUUUGGCCUCCUUGAUGAUGCACCUCUAUUCUCAUCUAGCAUGAGUGACCUCAUUCCAAUCCUGUCCUACUUUAAGAAUCUUCAGCUAUCUUCUUAGGAUGUCCAUCAACUGUUGGCAAGGCCUACCUCGAAGACAUGGUGCUAUGAUUUUAUGAUUAUGGAUAAUUUUGGUAUUUCUCAGUUUCACAACUCUCACCAUAUUGUCAAUAUUUCUCUUGAUUAACAAGCCAUUUUUCCUUUAUUGCUUUCCUGUUCUCUAGAACUUUCUUGUUUAUAUUGUUAAAUAAAUGUCUUCUUCCUUUGCUUUUUUCCCCAAGGCUUUCACUGCAGCUUCAGCACCUUUUUUUCAAGUUUUCCCAAGUUCUGUUGAUAUUUUUCUCACUUUCUUUGACUUACAACUUUUCAAAUAUAUUCUUUAUCAAGCUGUUAUUUCUCCUUAAUAAAGGAUACCAUUAAUUUGCAUGACUGAGUAUCAUCAUGAGACUUAGAAAACCACAGAAUCUUAAUU